rnacentral:rRNA from 1 species
CAGCAGCCACGGGAAUACGGAGGGAGCUAGCGUUGUUCGGAAUUACUGGGCGUAAAGCGCACGUAGGCGGCUUUGUAAGUUAGAGGUGAAAGCCUGGAGCUCAACUCCAGAAUUGCCUUUAAGACUGCAUCGCUUGAAUCCGGGAGAGGUGAGUGGAAUUCCGAGUGUAGAGGUGAAAUUCGUAGAUAUUCGGAAGAACACCAGUGGCGAAGGCGGCUCACUGGACCGGCAUUGACGCUGAGGUGCGAAAGCGUGGGGAGCAAACAGGAUUAGAUACCCGCGUAGUCCCUGUCUCUUAUAC